rnacentral:rRNA from 1 species
CCCGCUCAGAAACUACAAAGGAAGUUGACGGGGCCCGCACAAGCGGUGGAGCAUGUGGUUUAAUUCGAUGGUACGCGAGGAACCUUACCAGGGCUUGACAUACGUUGGAAGCGCAUCGAAAGGUGCGUGCCGCUUGCGGCCGGCGUACAGGUGCUGCAUGGCUGUCGUCAGCUCGUGCUGUGAAGUGUUGGGUUAAGUCCCGCAACGAGCGCAACCCCUGCUGCCUGUUGCCACCACGAGAGGUGGGGACUCAGGCGGGACCGCCGGUGACAAACCGGAGGAAGUGGGGACGACGUCAAGUCAUCAUGGCCCUUAUGUCCUGGGCUACACACGUGCUACAAUGGCCGGUACAGAGCGCAGCGAGGCCGCGAGGCGGAGCGAAUCGCUUAAAGCCGGUCCCAGUACGGAUUGGAGUCUGCAACCCGACUCCAUGAAGUUGGAAUCGCUAGUAAUCGCGCAUCAGCAUGGCGCGGUGAAUACGUUCCCGGGCCUU